GGCUGGUCUGAAGGCAGUGAGUUAUCUCAAUUGAUUGUUCACAGUCAGUUACAGAUCCAGCUCUUUGUUCUGCUCUUUGCCCCCUUCUCACUACUGCACUUGACUAGUCUUAU
rnacentral:Y_RNA from 1 species